rnacentral:rRNA from 1 species
UACGUAGGUGGCAAGCGUUGUCCGGAAUUAUUGGGCGUAAAGCGCGCGCAGGCGGUUUCUUAAGUCUGAUGUGAAAGCCCACGGCUUAACCGUGGAAGGUCAUUGGAAACUGGGAGACUUGAGUGCAGAAGAGAAGAGCGGAAUUCCACGUGUAGCGGUGAAAUGCGUAGAGAUGUGGAGGAACACCAGUGGCGAAGGCGGCUCUUUGGUCUGUAACUGACGCUGAGGCGCGAAAGCGUGGGGAGCGAACGGG